rnacentral:tRNA from 1 species
GGGGUUGUGGCUCAGUGGUGGAGCACUUGCCUACCACGCGUGAGGCAUUGGGUUCGAAUCCUGACCCCA